AGCGUGGCGGCGGUGCGGGCGCUGGGCGUGGGGCAGCGGCGCUGCGGCUGGAAAUGGGGCCGGGGCCGGGGCCGGGGCUCCUGUGCUGUGAGCCGGUUCCCCCCGCCCUUUGCGCAGCAGUGUGCGUGUGGAGAGACCUUUGGAUGUCUGCGAGGAGGGAAGCGGCGUUCCCGAACUCGGGUCCAGGAGAUUCAGCUGUGGAGAAGCUGCAGAGAAGGCUGCCCGGCACAGCUCCCCAAAAUGAGCCUACUCCGACUGAAUUCCCGAAGAGGAGGGGGCACUUGUAGCCUUUUGUGAUUCUUGUGAAAUUCCGGACUGUCUCCACACAGGAAGCACAGGGGACUGGCUGAGGGGCUUAGCCUGGGACACAGCCCCAGCAGGAGCAGCCCUGGGCACACUGACAUGGGAGGAUGAGCCCAGGUGAGGAGCACGGCCCCAGUGUGGCAUCGAGAGAGGCUGGCACGGGACAGUGAGCCCAGGGACAGAGGAGAUGCUGCUGUACCACGUCCCCAGGAGAGCCCCUGCCUCACUUCUACUCUCAGGGGUGGGAUGGGAGACACCUCCACACAGAAAGUGGCACUUGGCAUGGCUUCAGUCCCCAGUGGAAGAGGCUGGGCUCCUGCUGCUCAGAGCUCGUGAUUAGGGACACCCACGCCUGCGCCUGGCUUGGGAUGCAGGGUGCACUAAUUCCAGAUCCAGCCACGAGAUGUUCCUGCUGCAGCUGCAGGUCCCUGAGGUGGAUUCCUUUCUCUGCAGUCACCGAUGCUUUUCCUGGAAUCUACCAUUUGAUGUUGAAGAGCAGCAGCUGGAAGAUGUGUUGAAGCAUCCUCUUCGGUGUAGCAUUUCAAGCAGGGGUUGCAGUCAGCAUGUCAGCUGAGGAGUGUGUGACAGUGGGAGUGCGUGAGUGUCCGUGUGAGCUUGUGUCUGUCUGCUGCUGCUGAUGUCUGCCUGUGCAAGUGUGUGUGCUGACUGCUUCUGGCCUUGUGUCAACGCUGAGUUUGUGUGUAAGCUCAGAGUUGUGGGGGGUGGACAAGUGUUCUGGUUUCUGUGUGCUGCUUCUGGUUUGGGUUUCCUGUGUGAAUAAACAAACUGUAAUUAGCAAUUCAGAAAAACAAACAUGAGUAUAUUGCAUGAAUACAUAUUUGGCUUGCAUUCCCCUGUAUUGUUCUGUAUUUGCAUUUGCUGCUGCAUUUCCAUGUAGUGCUCUGGAUGUAAAUUCACCCUUAACAGUGUGUCCAUAGAUUGUAUUUGUAAUGGAAUUUGUACCUGUACUUGCCUUGUUUUGCUGCGUUUUCCUGAAGUAUAAAUAAAAAAUUCAUUCAAUAAAAUUAAAUCACCCUUAGUUAAGAUACCCCCUUCUUCCCCUUGA